GUUUUCUCUGAGGAUCCCAUGCUGAGUGGAGACAGAGCCAGGAAUACUAACAGUUGGUGACCAUCCAGGGACACCAGCCACUGUUGUUACCUUCAGUCUCACCAGCAAAAGCAAUUAAAACAAUAUGCGUACAAUAAAAUAUAAAAGCAUAUUUCACUUCUGGGAAAGGGAAAGUGGAUUCAAGCAUUAAAAGGAGAGCUUGGGUUGAAGCCGCCGGCAGCCGCAGGCUGUACUCCAAGAAAGAAUGGAGCUAGAGAGCCAGGCACCAGCUCCCGUCUCUGUGGCAUGGAAAGUUGUCCUAAGAAAGGUUGGAAUGACCUGUGGCCUCUGGAGGAAAAUAAGGAAACUGGAGUCCCAGGAGCUCCUUUCUCUCUCUGAUUUCGCCCAUCACUGUCCAUGUGGAAGAAGCACGAAGAGAAAUUUGAGUUGCGCUGGAUCUCUCUGCCAACUGCAUGAACCCUGAAAGUCUGUCCUCCCAUUUAUAAGUUGUUCCCAGAAUCUAAUCCCUCCCAUCUUCCUUCAUUUUCUCUCUCUUUUUUUUUUUUUUUUGUUGUUGUUGUUGUUGUUGUUGAGAGGGAGUUUCACUCUUGUUGCCCAGGCUGGAGUGCAAUGCCAUGAUCUUGGCUCACCACAACCUCCGCCUCCCGGGUUCAAGCAAUUCUCAUGCCUCAGUCUCCUGAGUGGCUGAGAUUACAGGCAUGCGCCACCACGCCCUGCUAAUUUUGUAUUUUUAGUAGAGAUAGAGCUUAACCAUGUUGGCCAGGCUCGUCUUGAACUCCCGACCUCAGGCGAUCCACCCGCCUUGGCCUCCCAAAGUGCUGGGAUUAAAGGCGGGAGCCACUGCACUUGGCCUGUUUUAUUUUCUUUAUUGGGUGGAGGUUUGUCUUAAGUUUCCCCCACUUCUGAUUAAUAACCUCAGUAGGACUUUGCUUACUAAAAAAAAAAAAAACUUACUAAAAAAUAAAAAUUAGUAACCGUAAUAACUGCAUUCUCGUAGCAUCUAGCAACCUUCACAACAGAGUUGUGACAAAGAGCUGAAUUACCAAAUCUCAGUUUCUACAAAAAAUGUUAUCCUUAAGAAGAAGGCAGUAGUGGUCUUUCCACUCAAAAGCAUUAUCUCAACUUUUGGCUAUAGACAUUUUCAAAAUUGCAGAAAAAAACUGAAAGAAUAGUAUAGGAACCAUCUGUACAGUUAGCCCCUAGUAAUUAUUAAUUUUUUUGUCAUAUUUUAUUUAUCAUCAUAUGUGCGCGUGUGAUUUUGCAUUGCCAUGUUGUGUUGUGUUGUGUUGUGUUGUGUUGUGUUGUAUUCCUGAACCAUUUGAUGAUAAGUUGCAGACUGCAGGACACUUCGCCUCUCGAAUGUCCAGAAUAUCGAUGAUCCCCUGGGUAACCACCUACAACCGAUGUCCCUAAGAAAGUCACAAUGGUUGCCAUCAUCAUCUGCUACCUAGCCCACAUUAAAAGCCCCUAGUUGUAUUAAAAAUGUCUUUUAGAGCUGU
rnacentral:lncRNA from 10 species